rnacentral:rRNA from 1 species
UCCGGUGAUAAUGGCGAUGAGGAUCCACCUGUUCCCAUUCCGCGCGAGCAGAGCGCUGCUCUGCCGAAGGUGUUCCGCUUGCGGAAAGCGGCAGAACACAGAAGUUAAGCUCGUCCGCGGUGAAAGUACUUGGCACAUAGCGCCCGGGAGGAUAACACGUUGCCGGAU